UUCCAGACUCCUACGGGAGGCAGCAGUGGGGAAUAUUGGGCAAUGGAGGCAACUCUUACCCAGCAAUGCCGCGUGAAUGAAGAAGGUCUUCGGAUUGUAAAGCUCUUUAAUUGGGGACGAAAAAAAUGACGGUACCCAAGGAAUAAGCCACGGCUAACUACGUGCCAGCAGCCGCGGUAAUACGUAGGUGGCAAGCGUUAUCCGGAUUUACUGGGUGUAAAAGGCGUGUAGGCGGGAAAGCAAGUCAGAUGUGAAAACCAUGGGCUCAACCUGUGGCCUGCAUUUGAAACUGUUUUUCUUGAGUACUGGAGAGGCAGACGGAAUUCCUAGUGUAGCGGUGAAAUGCGUAGAUAUUAGGAGGAACACCAGUGGCGAAGGCGGUCUGCUGGACAGCAACUGACGCUGAGGCGCGAAAGCGUGGGGAGCAAACAGGAUUAGAUACCCUCGUAC
rnacentral:rRNA from 1 species